AACGAACGCUGGCGGCAUGCCUAACACAUGCAAGUCGAACGAGACCUUCGGGUCUAGUGGCGCACGGGUGCGUAACGCGUGGGAACCUGCCCUUAGGUUCGGAAUAACUCCCCGAAAGGGGUGCUAAUACCGGAUAAUGUCUUCGGACCAAAGAUUUAUCGCCUUUGGAUGGGCCCGCGUUGGAUUAGCUAGUUGGUAGGGUAAAAGCCUACCAAGGCGACGAUCCAUAGCUGGUCUGAGAGGAUGAUCAGCCACACUGGGACUGAGACACGGCCCAGACUCCUACGGGAGGCAGCAGUGGGGAAUAUUCGACAAUGGGCGAAAGCCUGAUCCAGCAAUGCCGCGUGAGUGAUGAAGGCCUUAGGGUUGUAAAGCUCUUUUACCCGGGAUGAUAAUGACAGUACCUGGAGAAUAAGCUCCGGCUAACUCCGUG
rnacentral:rRNA from 1 species